rnacentral:rRNA from 1 species
AGUAACGCCGGAGCCCUAGACCGUAUCGUUAGUUUUAUCAACACGACCGAGGACCCGUCCGUAGAGCGUAUCUUGAUCCCGGAUAUGGCGUUGAGCGCCGCUGAGUAUUUCGCCGUGGAGAAGAACGAGAAGGUCUUGGUACGAUCUACUGAACUUCAAAAUAGGUAGAUCGAGGGAACCGCCUGAACUGAAACAUCUAAGUAGGGCGAGGAAGAGACAUCAAACGAGAUUCCGUAAGUAGUGGCGAGCGAACGCGGAAGAGGGCAAACCGGGAGUAGAAAUACUUCCGGGGUACGGACUGCUUUUAGGACUCGAUCUGUUAACCGAACGGCAUGGGAAGGCCGGUCAGAGAGUGUGAGAACCACGUAGGUGAAAACGGAAAGAGCUGCGCAGAUUCCAGAGUACGGCCAGACACGUGAAACCUGGUCGGAAGAUGGGGGGACCACCCUCCAACCCUAAAUACUACCCAGUGACCGAUAGCGUAUAGUACUGUGAAGGAAAGGUGAAAAGCACCCCGGGAGGGGAGUGAAAAAGAACCUGAAACCCUGUGCCUACAAGCACCUAGAGCACGUCAAUGUGUGAUAGGGUACUUUUUGUAGAACGGUCCGGCGAGCGAUUGUAUGCAGCAAGGUUAAGGACUUAAGGUCUGGAGCCGAAGCGAAAGCGAGUUUGAAAAGGGCGUUAAGUUGCAUAUAAUGGGCCCGAAACCGGGUGACCUACCCAUGGUCAGGUUGAAGUGGAAGUAAAAUUCCAUGGAGGACCGAACCGACCUCCGUUGAAAAGGCGGCGGAUGAACUGUGGGUAGCGGAGAAAUUCCAAUCGAACCCGGAGAUAGCUGGUUCUCCCCGAAAUAGUUUUAGGACUAGCCUCAAGUUAGAUACCUGGAGGUAAAGCACUGAAUAGCCUAGCGGCCGAGAGGUUAGCGAAGCUUAUCAAACUCAGAAUGCCAGAGUAUUGAUGCUUGGGAGUCAGACAGUGUCAGAUAAAUGUCAUUGUCAAAAGGGAAACAGCCCAGAUCUACAGCUAAGGUCCCAAAGUCAGGUUAAGUGGAAAACGAUGUGAAGAUACGCAGACAACCAGGAUGUUGGCUCAGAAGCAGCCACUCAUUCAAAGAGUGCGUAAUAGCUCACUGGUCGAGCGUCUUUGCGCGGAGAAUUUAACGGGGCUAAACCUGACACCGAAGCUUAGGCAAUACAGUAAUGUAUUGGGUAGGGGAGCGUUGUAUACGCGGUGAAACAGUAGCGCAAGCGGCUGUGGAGUGUAUAGAAGUGAGAAUGCCGGAAUGAGUAGCGCGAAUGCAGUGAGAAUCUGCAUGGCCGAAAGCCUCAGGUUUCUGGAGGAAGGUUCGUCCGCUCCAGGUUAGUCGGGAGCUAAGGUGAGGCCUAACGGCGUAGCCGAUGCACAGACGGUAGAGAUUCCGUCACCACCAAAAGAGUUAAGCACAGGGACACAUUUGAAGUCUCAGAGCCGGGUGUUGGUUCCGGUAGAGAUCGAGGGAAGUUAGUACCGAAGUCUGGGAUGGAAGAUGGCGAGAAAAGCUGUGUGUAUUUCUGAGGUGCCCGUACCGCAAACCGACACAGGUAGGUAGGAAGAAGAUUCUAAGGCCAACGGGAGAAGGGUUGUUAAGGAACUCGGCAAAUUGACCCCGUAACUUCGGGAGAAGGGGUGCUCCAGAGAUGGAGCCGCAGAGAAUCGGCCCAAGCAACUGUUUACCAAAAACACAGGUUUGUGCUAAAUCGAAAGAUGACGUAUACGAGCUGACGCCUGCCCGGUGCUGGAAGGUUAAGAGGAGAUGUGCAAGCAUUGAAUCGAAGCCCCAGUGAACGGCGGCCGUAACUAUAACGGUCCUAAGGUAGCGAAAUUCCUUGUCAGGUAAGUUCUGACCCG